UACGUAGGUGGCAAGCGUUGUCCGGAUUUAUUGGGUUUAAAGGGUGCGUAGGCGGCCUUAUAAGUCAGUGCUGAAAUAUCCCGGCUUAACCGGGAGGGUGGCAUUGAUACUGUAGGGCUUGAGUAAAGUUGAGGUUGGCGGAAUUGACGGUGUAGCGGUGAAAUGCUUAGAUAUCGUCAAGAACACCGAUAGUGAAGACAGCUAACUAAGCUUUAACUGACGCUUAGGCACGAAAGUGUGGGGAUCAAACAGG
rnacentral:rRNA from 1 species